UACGUAGGGUGCGAGCGUUGUCCGGAAUUACUGGGCGUAAAGAGCUCGUAGGUGGUUUGUCGCGUUGUUCGUGAAAACCGGGGGCUUAACCCUCGGCGUGCGGGCGAUACGGGCAGACUUGAGUACUGCAGGGGAGACUGGAAUUCCUGGUGUAGCGGUGGAAUGCGCAGAUAUCAGGAGGAACACCGGUGGCGAAGGCGGGUCUCUGGGCCGAUACUGACGCUGAGGAGCGAAAGCGUGGGUAGCGAACAGG
rnacentral:rRNA from 1 species